UCGCGCUGCGCGGCGGGCGCUGAGUGACGUGAGAAGGGAGACGGAGUGCUGGGGCGCGCGCUGUCUGAGGCGUUGCCUUGGCGGGAGCGUCUCGCUGAGGGCACGGGAGGGCUGAGGGCGGGGCGGCUGUUGCACGGGGAACGGGCUCCCAGCGCCGGGCGGUACCCUGUGCUACCGGGAUGUCCGCUGGCAAGGGCAAGCCGGGAUAAACAGUACGCGGUGCACACGUGUACGCGGAAUUACCCUCAGAUAGGAAUGCACGACCGCAGUGCAGGCUGGGCGCUGCUGCUUUGCUGCUGCACCGGGCAUCCCGGGAACGCGUGUGCCGCCCUGCCCAGACACGCCGCAAUGGGACGGGCUGCUGGCCGCAGCUGGCUGUGAGCAGCGCAGCUGUGAGACCUCCGCCAAGGCGCUCUGGAUGCAAAAGAACAUCUUAAAGCGGGGUUCUGUUUCUAACUUCCAUGUCGAAGCUUCUGCAGCUCAGGGCAGCACGUGAGCAGCCGCCGCUUCCCGCAGCCGUUCGUACCGCCGCGGGGCCGUUUCGCCGUUUCGAGUCAGCUCGGCGCGCUGCUGCCCUGCAGGUUGAACUGAUGCACUGAAAUUCAGAGCGAGAGACAAUCGAGUACCACCGCGGGGCGGCGAGUUACUUCACUAGCACGUAUUUUAAUGCAAACUGCGGGUGAAGCUAUUUUGGUUCAGUUUCAGUUCCCGCUAGCAACAAUUAGAAUUACUUCAGGGUUUUGAAACCAGUUUAACUGGUUCACGUUGGGAAGAGAAACGCAUGAAAGCGAGACGAGGCUCCUUUCCCGGACGGCGCCGGGGCUCUUCGGACUCGGUGUCGGCGCGGCCUCCCGAGGGGCAGCGCAGAUCCCGGGGCCGCAGGGCG